UGAUGGUUGACUUUUGGGAAAAAAAUACACUUUGAUGAUCGAAAAAGAAUUUGAUCACUUUGAAAGCAACUUCUUUCUUUUUUUUAUAUAAUAUAAAUGAAUUCAAUACAACUUGUAUUACACUAUUCUUGUAAAAAAAAUUAAUACACAAACUUUUUUAAAAAUAUUUUUUUCAAACAUCAACUUUAGAACAUUGGUACUCCUCAAUUUUGCUAGCUCUGAUACCAAAUAAUACGAUCUUGCCUCGGUAAAGUGAUUCGAGUCGC
rnacentral:lncRNA from 1 species